UUUUUUGAAAGUUUCAAUAUAACAUUUUAAAACCUCUCUGAAUGUUUCGAUUUUAAUGCAAUUUCGGUUAUCGUUCUUGAAUUUAACCUCGAUGAUCGCUAGGGGCGCUGCUUGUCAACACGCUAAGUGCACGGAAUAUGGCGGAUCCAAAACUGAAUGCCGUGUAGGACAAUAUUCCGACAGAGUGUGAUCUACCCUGAAGCCUUAUCUAAAGGAAAAAAGGAUAUAUUUAUCUUCGGAGAGAGUCAGAAAUACAUUGAUGCAUAUGACGUCACUGAAGAUAGACCGUGUGUGGAGCAGCCGACAACGAAGACCGAGCAACAUAAUCAACAUAUCUUAUAUGGCAUGUCACCAAGUCAGCACAUUAUGGUCUCUGCAAAACCCAAGGACAUAUUUAAAAGUGGUGACAGGAGGAAAAUCAAUCAAACCAAGUGAAAGUACAAGAUACUAUUACAAAAGGAAAGCAAAGGAGUCCAUAAAUUCAAUGUUGAACAUCAAGACAGUCUAAAGAAUUUAAUCCAAACAAAAUAUCAAAACUUUAUGAAGAAAUAAAUGACAAAGUGUCAAAUAAACAUGAAAGCAUUCUUAUA